rnacentral:rRNA from 1 species
GAUGAACGCUGGCGGCGUGCCUAAUACAUGCAAGUCGAGCGAACGGACGAGAAGCUUGCUUCUCUGAUGUUAGCGGCGGACGGGUGAGUAACACGUGGAUAACCUACCUAUAAGACUGGGAUAACUUCGGGAAACCGGAGCUAAUACCGGAUAAUAUUUUGAACCGCAUGGUUCAAAAGUGAAAGACGGUCUUGCUGUCACUUAUAGAUGGUUCCGCGCUGCAUUAGCUAGUUGGUAAGGUAACGGCUUACCAAGGCAACGAUGCACAGCCGACCUGAGAGGGUGAUCGGCCACACUGGAACUGAGACACGGUCCAGACUCCUACGGGAGGCAGCAGUAGGGAAUCUUCCGCAAUGGGCGAAAGCCUGACGGAGCAACGCCGCGUGAGUGGUGAAGGUCUUCGGAUCGUAAAACUCUGUUAUUAGGGAAGAACAUAUGUGUAAGUAACUGUGGACAUCUUGACGGUACCUAAUCAGAAAGCCACGGCUAACUACGUG